ensembl:lncRNA
GGAGAAGCCACACUCAGCCCGCCUCCCACAGGCUCCUCUUUCCGCACAGUCCUGUGAGCUCACUUUUGCCUCUCUGUACUCAGAUGCGUCUUCCACCAUCUUCUCAACCUGGAAAUUCACGACCUUUCUUUGAUCUUCAGUCUUAUUCUUAACCUGUGAAUAGGGCAGUGAAAAACAUAGGAACGUAGGAAUUAAGUGUGAAUGGGUUUCCCUGAUGGCUCACACGAAUCCCAUGAGCAGAGGAGCCUGGCGGGCUACAGUGCAUAGGGUUGCAAAGAGCCAGACAUGACUGAUGGUCUAACGCUGAGUGUGAAGGGUUAACACUUCAUGACACUUUUACUUCUUUAUUUCUCAAGUUUAACUACAGGGCUUGAGGACCCAAGUACCCAAAACCAGAGACGGAAACAAGAAGGAUGACGGAGCCCGGUGGAAAGCCGCACUUCUGGCCGGCGAGCCCAGGCCCUGGAUGCUCAGGGCCCCUGCGCACAGCAGGAGCCUGGCUCCUCCUCCCCGGAGACCUCCCACCCGUGUUUUCAGGGACAGCUCGACAGCGUGCAAUUCCCCCUCCGUUUUCCUCAGACCUCUCACUCACCCUCUUCUGGGAAGCUUCCAGCUGCGUCCUGACCCAGUGCAAGUGCACCUGCUACCUUCUCUGGCUUUCCAGACGGCACUAGUGGUAAAGAACCUGCCUGCCAGUGCAGGAGACGUGAGAGACCCGUGUCCGAUCCCAGGUCAGGAAGAUCCCCUGGAGGAGGAAACGGCAACCCACUGCAGUGUUCUUACUUGGAGAACCCCAUGGACAGAGGAGCCUGGCGGGCUACAGUCCACGGGGUCACAAAGAGCCAGACACGACCGAAGGGACUUAGCACAUGCGCUCUGGUUUCCUCUUCGGCCUUCUCGUCGCUGGGCAUUUGUAAGCCCAUCCUCAGUCUCACCUCUCAAGGUUUCAGCCUGUUUUGUCCUCAACUUCUGAGGACAGUCACCCCAAGUCUUCACUUCUUUAAAAUCUCUGACUUUAACCAGCCCUUCUCUUUCCUCCUUGUUCAUUGCUUUAAAUAAGGUACCACAGUCAUUCCUCGCUCGGUUCUCCAUUCCUACCUAGAACAUUAAUUAGAACAGUGUUUCUCAGGAUGAACAGGUUCAUAGUAGUAAACCAGCUUCCCUUUUACUCAUUUCAAACCUGCCCGAACGUCCCUCCUGUUUCUAGUCCCCCGAGCUCACUCCCGGGCUCUGUGCGUCUGACUUUCAUUGAAUCUUCCUGUUGAAACAACUCUUCGCUGCCCAUCAGCUCCUGCUUGUCCACAUCUUGACCAUCCAUCUUCAUAUGACUUUUCCAGAAAGUGUCUGUCUGUGAAAGACACACAGAGUCACAU